rnacentral:lncRNA from 1 species
UUGAGGGGGCUUUUAAGAAGAGAAAUUCUUGCCACAAGCCCACAAGAAGACAUUAAAAUAUACUUGCUGUAACGGUUCUGAGAAAAAUGAAAAUUAUUUCCUAAUUUGAUUUAAAAGGUAAACUUGCCAACUUCAUUUAACACUAACCACAAAGGAGAUUCAAUGCUACCAAGCUUACCGCAUAAGGCUACAUAAUAUAUCAUGCAUAUUCAUAAUAAGCUCCCAGCAAAUUAGGGUAAAACAACUUAACAUUCAAUUCUUUAGCAUUUUACAGCCCUAGAUUUCACGGCAUGACCUACUAUUGUACGAAAUCCAGACAUUGGUCAGAAGAAAGCACGCAUCCACAUCACACACAGCAACUGAGCAGUAUAUAUUCCACGGUAUCCCAACAGCUUUCUAUUCUUUACAUAGGAUUUUUCUGCACAUGCCAACAACUAAAGGUCAGCUCAAAACAUAGAUCUAGGGAACUAAAGGAGAAGAAUGUAAGGGGGCGAGGGAGAUCGGUGCAAAGGGAUGGUACAAAUUGAGGGGGGAUUGUUCACUAAAAUAGUAAGGUUAAAGAAGAAACUUACGCCCACUAGUAAACAUAUAAUUAUAUAAAACAAGAAAAGAUUCCAACCUUAAUCAGUAUUGUGAGACUGAUCAUGCUCGAUAAAAUCUAACGCAUCUUCCUUGGAGACAACAUUAACACGGCUCACCCUGUUUUUAUGUGUCACACC